GUCACUCCUAACUCCACUCACACGCCUCGACCACCACGCUGCAUCACUACCACACCACACCACGCGCUGCCAUACACUGACGCGGUCGCCCUAGCUCAACACUGGGAUGGAAUUCUGCUCGCAACAGAAGGGAAGAUCAGUUUAAACACAGAAGAUAAGAUCAAGUGUCAAAGAUCACAGGAGACCAUAACACAGUCUGAUGUGAAAGGUCAGACAUCCAUCUACACACACCUGAGAGAGCCCCACAACUCACCACAGCCUGGCCCACACCACUCACCUCUAUGACAUCAGCAUCAACAUCAGGGAACAUAGUCUUGAAGUCCUCCAUGGCCUGAUGGAAGUCCAGCUGAGUGGCCUGACCCUCCACAGCUGCCAUGCUUGCACUCACUCACUUACUUCAAGAUGGUUGUCCCCAUCGUGGUGGGGCACUGCCUCACUUCUUGUUGGAUAGUUGCCCUACAUCAUCUGCUGCCAGUCUGGGAGGGGCCCUGCAAGGAAACCAACAUUAAGUAUUAUACCGUUAUACUAGUGUCAUUGGGAAAGCCCUGCAAAAAAAACAAAAUAAAUAAAUAUAAAUAUAAAUAUAUAUAAAAAAAAAAAAAUAAUAAUUAUGCCCUUAUAGUACUUUCACUGGAAGGACCUUGUAAAGUACACCAACACUCUUUAUAUUACUGUUACUGGAAGAGGCCCUGUAGGUAAAGAAAAGUUAUACUUCUUAUGUCUUGUGUUAUUAUAAUUAUAUCUCUGUUACUCAAUGAAAGUUCAAGUCCUUUAGAAGUAAAUAGAAAAUAAUAAUCAUCUUGUUAACAGCAGAAAAUUCAGCACAGUCUGUCACCUGCUGGUCACCAAGGAGCUCAGAGCUUACAGACCACAACACACACCACACACUGAGAAAGCGAGGCCGCAAUCCCUUGAGUUACAUCCCGUAUCUACUUAAUGAUCUGCUCUAGAAGAGGAAUGGAAGAGAAAGAACACACAUGACAGCUGCCUAAUAACAAUAUCCUGGCCCAUUCUUUGUGCCUCCACGAUUUCUUGGCCAAGCACUGAUCAGGCUGAUCAGGCUCUACUCUCCAGGUACAGUCUCUUUAGAUUUUUGGUUGUUACAGUGUAAAAAUAUUGCUGAUACGACCAUGAUUUGAAAGGACAGUCAACAAUAAAUAGAAUGUGAUAGUGUGUCUCAUAGUCAUUCCAGAUCAGAAUUUGUAUAACUGUUUUUUACUCGAUGCAUGACCAACUGGUUAUGUGUGUGGACUCAUGAAGAGUACGCUUUGAUGGAUAUUGACAUUAAACCCAAAAUGUUAGUAAACUGUCUCUUGGCCUUAGAUUGUAUUGAACCCUUGGCAGGAUGACCCUGUCUAACAUGCACCUGCAAUGAGAAGUGUUGGCAAACCUUGACUGUCCUACCACUUUAAUGCUAAGACACAUGCACAUCAACCUGUGGUGACCAUAAGUAUAAAGAUCUCAGUAUCAUUCUGGAACUGUUAAGGUCCUCAUGUUUGAGGCACAGUAUCUCCUGGUUAAAGAUUCAAGGGUUCCUUCUGAUGAAUGUGACAACUUCAGAUCCAUAUCUGUGUGUUUCCAUGCAGUGAUUGGCAAAGGCACCACACACUGAAAACUCAGUCAUCCCCAUAUCUUAAAAACAACAUGCUUUUAGAAGAGCCAGCAGCAUCAGAGCAUUGGUGUAACAUGUCUACACACAAGAGGUCCUGACACUACUUAUAUUAACACACCUGGGAUGUCAUCAAUCACAUGGCCACACUCUACCUACCCACCAUAUACCCCACAUCUCCCACACCAUGCUUUACACACUUAUAAAGCGAGUGACAGAGCUGAAAAACCAAUGGCAGUGUGUUUUAGUGGUAUGUAUAUUUUGCCUAAUUCACAGCAAACGUAUGCUUACCAUGCAAGGGAUCCUGAGCUAUAUAAAGCUCAAAUAAAUAGACCAGCUAACUAUCAUUCAUAACACGCACACACACACACACAGCACAUAAGUCUGUCAAACUGAUGAUGAAUAAACAAUACAAGCAACAUGCACAUAACAAUGACAUUUCAAGAGUAGACCUUGGAAUACAUAAAAUUAACUGUAUAAUAAAGCGGACAUCCAACACAUUACUGAAACACACUACAAUGAAAAUGAUAAGCACAGUACAUCACAGCGGGAGAGACGGCAGGGGCGGGGAGCAGUGUCAGCAAGGAGACAAGGUGCAGGGAGGCGGUGGCAGCGCGACCCUCUCGCUCUCAGUGCCUCUGCUCACAGGGUGUCCCACCCCCCGCCCCGCCAGAUGAGGCAUGCUGUGGGCUGCAGUAUUUUAUUCAUCACCAGGACUAGAGGAGAGACAACGAUGCAUAUAAGCUCCUCUUUACCUCCUCCAGCUGCAGGUGUAAGCGUCGUCUGCUUCUGUGUUGUCAAAUAUUGAUAUUUUCACAGCAAGUAAGAAACAGAAGAGUUUCUGAGAAUUGUUUUUGUAUUUUGAAAGAAUUAGAAUAUGUAUUGUUUAAUUUUAUUUUUAAUUGCAUAUUUCUUUUAUAUUUAACUUAAACUAUAGAAUUUAUUCUAUAUUUUCUGCAAAAUAAAGAAGGUUUUGAGAACUACAAAUGUUUUAGAUUACAAGAAUAGAAAACGAGAUUGAAGGGAAACUAAAAUAAAGACAGGAAACUAUUUUUAUACUUUCAUGUUUGUAUUUCACUUUUAAUCCGUAAAUUAUGUUAUUUACAUUGUAAUAUUUUGCAAUAAAGUGUCUCAGAUGA